ensembl:lncRNA
GAACAGAUCGGCCAGGAGAGAACCAUGUGCUGGUGGCAUAACUCUGCGUGUUAUCAACCCAGCUCUUUUUCUGCCUCAGCCCUUCUUCUCAGGUUUCCUACCACAGUAAGGGCAUACCCACCCUGCUGCUGUAGACGUAACCACACUUUGCAGGGGCUUACCUAAGCUGGACUGAAACAUGCUGGCUUGCAGCAUGGCCACAGCAGCAUCCAAUGCACUGAAGGCUGCCACGUAUGCUGGGGGUGGGGGCAGAUAAGAAUUCUGAUGGGUUUUGCAGUAGACCUUGAUUUCUGUGUUGCUGACUCCAUGCUGGUGUACGUGUCCAAUGAAUGCAGGCCUGCAGGGCUGUUCUGGUUCCCUACCUGCAAGGACAGGUGUUGAAAGCAGUAAGCCCUGGCCUAAUCCUGUGUGUGCUGACGUCAGUGGGGAUUGUCAUGCUGACAUAAAGGAGAGCAGAUUUUCUGAAAAUGCCACGUUGGUGUUUAUUUUGCUUUGUUGCAUGAAAUGGCAUGCAGGCCUGUUGCAGGGCUUGGUCUGCUGCCUCUGCAGCAGGGGCAAGGUGUGUCAGGCUGCUGGGCUCCCCGCAGCUGACAGCAUGGGGGACGACGUGCUGCAUGGAGGCCAGUCAGUUGGGACAUGGAGUGGCGAGCCAGCAUUGCCUUGACCUGAUGAACUAGAUCAUCUGGAAACACUUCAGCAGGACAUAUCCAUGCGCGUUGCUGCUUAAUCCCAAGCAAGUCUGAACUGCUUGCCACAUCCCUAUGGAGCCACUAUCACUGUCAUCUGGCGCAUGAACUAUUUACAGCGUAUAUCUGCAAAGCAUUAAUCAUCACUAAAAACAAAUGCUGGAAGCCCAGGAGUUGAUCAGUUCCCAUCUGAACAGGGCCCUCUGAAAGAUGCCCAAUGCACCGUUGCUGGAAGAUCAAAGGCAAAUGCAUAGUCACAGAAAUACUGGUCGAAAGAUGCCUGUGAAGGCCAUCAACUCCAGCCUUCCUCUGCAAGCAGACUGCUGGUGAAUCAGGUCAGCUGAGACACUGUUGAGACUUGGAAGUAUCCGCAGGCUGAGGCACCACAGCGUCUCCAGGCACGGUACAUCCUGGUUUUCCAGAAGAGUGCCACAGAGUAUUGGAGCCUGCCCAGCUCUAUGCUCCUUGAGUAGAGGUCCAGCAGAUGGAAGGGGUGAGCCAGUUAUCUGUGGUCUUUUAACAGCUCAGGCAGCAGCACAGCCCAGUUCUGUUAUGCUCCCCACCUGCCACUGCUGUAUCCAAGCACGGGAGAAGCAGCUCCGGGCUGAGGCUUGGCUCACUGGUAAAGGACAAAAGGCACAUCCCAGCCUGGAUAAAACAUUAUAGGUACAAUGUUAUGGCCAGGUGCGAUGACAAAGCCAGUAGUAUUUGGAAAAUGAAGGAAAAGGGGACUUUCCUGAGAACACUGCUCAUCUCUAGAACCAUCAUUCUUUAGUGCCUGAAAGACAGGUAAGUAUCCUUCUGCUUGCAGGAAAAAAUGUGAGCUCUGUUUGCAGAGUAAUUGUUGUUAAUUCAUAUUUUUCUUGGUAACUCUUCUCUCUUCCCACAGAUAGUCCUCCCAGUCAAGACACAGUUCCCAAGACAGAAGUGCCUUUACAAGAGAGAUGAAGGAAUGGUACUAGAUAUCAACAUUGUCGGGGUCAGAAGGGGCUCAUAGGUACAGGUACUAAAUUCCCUGGGGAUCUACUUCAGGUGGGACAGAGGCCAUGGAUUUUUUUCAGCAAUUUUUGGUGAGAAAGAGGCUGAGCCCGUGCUAUUGAAGUAAAUGCUGCUCAGCUGAUACCAAACCAGUUGUGGGCAGCUUAGUACUAAUCCCAUCAAAGACCAGCAGUGUUUAGGUGGUGCAAGGCUGGGACUACAUUGGGGCUGGUGCAGUACUGUAAGGAGAAGUCACACCUCCUCCUCAGGCAGGUGUUCUGCAUCCUGCCAGAAGGGGAAGGGAGAGCAAGGAGAGGGCUGAAAUAUAUCUCAUACCAACUGGAAGGGAGCGUGGUUGUUCUGAACUGCAGGGGCACAAGGCAGUCAAAAAGAACAGCAGCAUGUCUUGAAAUAAUAACAUGCAUUAUUAUUUUUAUAUAUCAUAUAUCAUGUAAUAUGCAAUAAAUUGUUUCUAGCAGACAGCAUGAACAAAGAGUGCCUUUUCCACCAUCUGCAAAUUCUCCCUAGAAACUGUUAGGAGUGGGCUUUCCCCUGCAAUUCCUGGUACCAUCCAUUUCAGGUUAGACUGGAAGUAUUGUGAAAGAGGCUGUCGUUGACUCGUUAACAAACCCAGCUCUUUCAGGCUUCUGACUCUCUCACAUUCAAAUCCACAAAACGUCUCUGUGCACUGAUGCAGAGGUGACCGGGGAUGUUAUCUUAUAAAAGACAUUAGAGUAGCUUCGAAAUUCAGAAAUGAAACUUUGCAUUAUCCCCAAGGCUGCUUAUAGGCCAGCCAAGGUGAGAACAAAGAGGAAAAAGUGAAGAUGGAAGUAGGCACUAGAUUACAACUGAGAUGUGUUUCUGUUUUUUCUCUGUGCAUUUGGUUGGUAUUCUGGUUUUUUUUUCCCCACUCUCUCCCUUAUUUUCAGUACGUACAAUAGUUAACUCUGUUGUAAGCUAGCCAAAACUUUCUGAAGGCAAUGGGAAGGAAUUACACUGGUUGCAAAUAUGCACUGGGUAUAUAUGGCCUUUUGUAAAUAGAAAAGCAUGAGAUGUUCCAAAUCCAACUUAAUAUACUUCAGUAGCUUCACUUUAUAUUUUGUUACUGUAGUAUACUGGAAUCUCAGAUUGUGUUUGGAGUAAAUAGUUGCUGACUAAAAAUCUCAGCAAGUACACACACAGAUUUGUUUCAAGAUUCUGAAAAGAAACAAACUGCUGUCCCCUUCUAAAAUCUCUGAAGUUUUGGAGUUCUUGCAGAUUUUCAUCCCAGAACCAAAAAGCAAGAAGCAAGUGCAGGAAAAGAGCAUGGAAGGAGAUUGACAUCUGUUUUCCCUUCACCGUCCUAAAGCAGCUCAGCAUCGGUUCCUGAGCAGCUGAGGAACCUCUGCUGUGGAGGCAAGAACCUUGGAGAGAAGGGCAGGGCACAUUUCCUGGCUAAAGUCAAAGGCACAAGGUGCUGGCCAACACUGAGAUGCCAAACUGGAGGCUGGUCCACCCACCAGAUCUCUAGGAUGUCUCUCGGAGAUUGUGCAGAUCCGAGCAGCAGCACAAAGCAUCGUGAAGUCAAAUGUAACAUUAAAAAUGCAUUCAGCAUGGUAAGUCAGCGUAUCCUUCUACCUAGAUUCCUUUGAAAAUCAGAGCUCAUCUGGGACAAGUAUGACUCCAUGUAUAUGAGUAUAUAGUGAACACUGUUGAACUUGUUGGAGACCUUUAACGUUAUCAAAAUACAACUAAUAGUAAUUAAUAUUUACUUGUCAUAUAGCCUCUCCAAUGAAGAACUAAAAUCAAAAUUAUAACCCUUCUGGGAAUAUGCCAAAGCUGAAGGAAAAGCUAGAAGCAUACUAUUCUGUAAUCAGGUCAACUUACCUCAUAGCACUUGCUGUAAAAAUACGAAUUACAUUAUGUUCCUUUGGCAUUUCUGUGGAUGCCAAUUAUAUUCAAACAUUGUAAAGAGCCUUGCAAACAAUUUGGAUGGAUUCAUGGCUUGCAGUAAGAAUGGCUGUACCCACAGAGCAAGCCUGUGCCAUAGCAAACUCCUCUGCGUUGGUCCUGGCUACAUCCCAGCAGUACCACAAGGCAAGGCCUGGGGGUCACCAGCUCCUGCCUGAGGGAAGCCCACAAAGCAAAUAGAAAGGGAAAUACUGCAGAGCACAGCCCAUCAGCAGUGGGUGACAUGCAGCUGCAAGCACUUAGUCCCUCAGGAGCAGGAUUAACCAAAUCAGUGGUUCUUGGGACAAUGAUGACGGACUUUGGGUUUAGUAGGGAAAGUGCUGGUGACAGGUAUAAUGGAAUCAUAGUUUAAAUAUAGGAGAACUACAUGCUAUUUCUCUUUUUCCUUUUUUUUUUUUUUUUUAAUACAUCGGUAUGUAAAUGGAAAGUCUGGACUGCUGUUAUAGUUUAAUUUCUUCAAAUGGCUGGAGAUCCCAAAACUUUUUAUUUCUUCAGCUGCUUCAUAUACACAUUUGCACACACAACUUUGGAUGCUUGGUAUCUUUGAAAUUCAGGUCAUAUCCACUUGAUAGGCAUGUUUGGGCCUAAUUUUUACUUAUCUUUUAAAAAAUAAAUUUUGGUAAUAGUCUUCAGAAGUAGGAAAAUAGUGAGAAAUUUCUACUGUCAUGCAUUUUCUCACUUUACAGCCAAUCUGAAAUCUACAUGUUCAAAUAAAUCAGUGCUCAAGGACAUUGCUGUCUUCUUCAGGCUUAGGGAGUUAUGCCCAGGCCCAGGAGGUGUGUUUAGGUGCCUAGUGACCAGUGUAUUCCAUAGAUGUUUAAAUAUUAUCACUUAACCAGGACCUGCAUCCAUCUCUGGGCAGAAACAGACAGGAAAUUUUUAUAUCUAUCUAUCUAUCUAUUUUUAUAUCUAUUGAGGUAGACAAAAACUUCUACUUGGGACCCUUCUCAGCACUGCUGCAAGGUACAGGGUGGGGUGGAUAGGACGAAAGGGCACCCAACAUCAGCUGGGAUUGCCUCCCACAGCCAAACAGGGCCACAGCUCUCAGGCUGCUCAGGACAUGCACAGAACAAAACCUGCAGCAGCAUGUGCCCAGGAGAGCUCUGCUGUUUCCAAACACGCUGCAACAGCUGCAGAUGCCGCCCAGACACAGCACAGUGCCCAUCUUGCUCCCUUACCACAUGGUACGGACCCUGCUGCUUCUUGAAACUGCCCACGUGCUUGUACAAACCUGUACUUUGCAAAUGCUCACACACGGUGCAUGCAUGAAUUAUUCCCAGGUAUCUGUAAAAUUCAGUUUUGAAAACUGUAAAAUAAUGGCCUGACAACAAGCUGGUCAUAUUUUCCAUGGUUCAUUUACCUCAAACAAACUGAAGGAUCAGCAAAUGUUUUGUAUUAACUUAUUGUUGAGCCAUCCUUGAUUAAGAAAUCGGUUCUUCCUGAAACUUUAUCUGGGAGCGGUCAGGUCUCCACACAGCAUUUCUGCUGCUUUCCUGAGCAAUGGAAGGACCAACACCAGCAAAGAUGGACAACACUUGAGUACUGCCAUCUGUGAUACAAUCAACAGAGCCCCACAGCACUGUUGUUUGGAUCAUUUGGUGCUGCUCCCACCGAGUUCACAAGAGUUUGUGAUGGGGCAUGUUCAGGC